UCAUGAAGCCGGAAUUGCUAGUAAUGGCAGGUCAGCAUACUGCCGUGAAUACGUUCCCGGGCCUUGUACACACCGCCCGUCACACCAUGAGAGUCUGUAACACCCAAAGCCGGUGGGAUAACCUUUAUAGGAGUCAGCCGUCUAAGGUAGGACAGAUGAUUAGGGUGAAGUCGUAACAAGGUAUC
rnacentral:rRNA from 1 species